CAGCAGUGUUGCGUGAGUGUUUUUACUGCACAUCUUUGAUAUGAGUGCAGCGGUGUAUUAAAUUAUUUGGUGUAUGUUACAGAUAUAGCGCUCGGGGCUGUGACUCCUCCAUGUGUUACUGAUGUGAAUGUCUGCACGCUAUUCCGCACUCAUUUACUGAGCUCACGUAUCUGAGCUCACGUGUUCAAUUACAGCUGAACAUCUGCCUGGUGUCAAACUGAGUUCUACAUCAGCAGCUAACAAUAAAGUGAAAGAUUUAACAGGAAGUCAGAAAUUGUCUACAAGCUCCUCCUCCAGCCAUGUGUAGGAGGUGUGUGUUGGAGGGUGGAGGUGUGUGUUGGAGGGUGGAGGUGUGUGUUGGAGGGUGGAGGUGUGUGUUGGAGGGUAGAGGUGUGUGUUGGAGGGUGUAGGUGUGUGUUGGAGGGUGUAGGUGUGUGUUGGAGGGUGGAGGUGUGUGUU
ensembl:lncRNA